AGGUCAUGAAUACUGCCAACCGCAAAACAUGACUUUCAUGUUUUGCAAGCCUCUCAACAAAAGAGAGGAUUAAGUCCAAGGAGGAGAGUUUGCAUGUUGGGGACUGGGGGGAGAAUGUAAAGAAGCACCGCAACGCAGGCAGAGUGAUACAUUCAGCCCGCAUAUCUGUCAAUAAGCUGCAUGAACUGGACUUAAAGCCCCUGCUCUUCAUGGGGAAAGAGAAGAGAGGGGGGGGGGGGUUUACAGCAGAGGUCAUUGCAGGCAUAGGCUUCAUACCAGAGGGGCCUGUGAGGGAGAUCAUUAAAAAAAUGACCACCCUUUAUGAAUACUAUCUUAAAUACCACAAUAGCCUUCUUGCCACAGCUGGUGAAGAAACACCAGAAGAAACACCAGAAGCAACAUCCCCUGCCUCCACUCAGGAUCAAACCUUCACCCUUAACCUUGUGCCGGUCCCCCACACACCUCCUAUGACUCCCUCUCUCUCUUCAUCUACUCUUCCUACUCCCUCUCUCUCUUCAUCUACUCUUCCUACUCCCUCUCUCUCUUCAUCUACUCUUCCUAUUCCCUCUCUCUCUUCAUCUACUCUUCCUACUCCCUCUCUCUCUUCAUCUACUCUUCCUAUUCCCUCUCUCUCUUCACCUCCUCUUCCCUCGAACUCUCUCUCUUCACCUCCUCUUCCCCCCAACUCUCUCUCCUCACCUCCUAUGACUCCCUCUCUCUCUUCACCUCCUCUUCUCUCAAACUCUCUCUCUUCAUCUACUCUUCCUACUCCCUCUCUCUCUUCACAUCCUAUGAUCUCUCUCUCUCUUCACCUCCUCUUCCCUCCCACUCUUUCUCUUCUCCUGCUCUUCCCUCCCAUUCUUUCUCCGCACCUCCUUUCCCCAGUCCCUCGCUCUCUUUACCUCCUUCACCAACCCUCUCUCUAUGUUACCCACUUUCUACUCCUUCCCUCAUCUCUUCUCCUCAAAAAGGUCUUCCCAAAAUUCAGUACCCGGGAAAAAGAAAAAUAAUUUAACGUAAAGGUUGUCUUAUGCUGCAAUUUCCUGUUUAAAAAGAGGGACGUUCAAAGCAGGUA